rfam:Brassica napus, WGS project CCCW01000000 data, contig: 23962
GGUAUAUAAGAACCCGUCUCUUAACUUUUAACUAAAAAAGUUAAGAACCGGUUCUUAAAUAAGAGUUUUAAGAACCGAUUCUUAAAUAAGAGUUUUAAGAACCGGUUCUUAACUUUUUAGUUAAAAGUUAAGAGACGGGUUCUUAUAUACC